GGUUGUGGCUCAGUGGUAGAGUGCUUGCCUCGCAUGUGUGAGGCACUGGGUUUUAUUCUCAGCACCA
rnacentral:tRNA from 1 species